UGAAAUAGCUCAUUCAGUUGAGCAUGAGACUCUUAAUCUUAGGGUCAUGUGUUUGAGCUCCACAUUGGGCAAAA
rnacentral:tRNA from 1 species